UACGUAGGAUGCAAGCGUUGUCCGGAAUUAUUGGGCGUAAAGAGCGCGCAGGCGGUUUGCCAAGUCAGAUGUGAAAUAGCCGGGCUUAACCCGGCGGGGUCAUUUGAAACUGGUAAACUAGAGUACAGCAGAGGAUAGCGGAAUUCCCGGUGUAGUGGUGAAAUGCGUAGAUAUCGGGAGGAACACCAGUGGCGAAGGCGGCUAUCUGGGCUGAAACUGACGCUGAGGCGCGAAGGCUAGGGGAGCAAACAGG
rnacentral:rRNA from 1 species